rnacentral:rRNA from 1 species
AGUGAACGCUGGCGGUAGGCCUAACACAUGCAAGUCGAACGGCAGCACAGUAAGAGCUUGCUCUUACGGGUGGCGAGUGGCGGACGGGUGAGGAAUACAUCGGAAUCUACUUUUUCGUGGGGGAUAACGUAGGGAAACUUACGCUAAUACCGCAUACGACCUACGGGUGAAAGCAGGGGAUCUUCGGACCUUGCGCGAUUGAAUGAGCCGAUGUCGGAUUAGCUAGUUGGCGGGGUAAAGGCCCACCAAGGCGACGAUCCGUAGCUGGUCUGAGAGGAUGAUCCGCCACACUGGAACUGAGACACGGUCCAGACUCCUACGGGAGGCAGCAGUGGGGAAUAUUGGACAAUGGGCGCAAGCCUGAUCCAGCCAUACCGCGUGGGUGAAGAAGGCCUUCGGGUUGUAAAGCCCUAUUGUUGGGAAAGAAAAGCAGCAGGUUAAUACCCCGCUGUUCUGACGGUACCCAAAGAAUAAGCACCGGCUAACUUCGUG